GUCAUUUAACCUCAUUAUGUUAUUUCAGUGCUUGUUUCCAUGGCAACUCCUUCAACUUCACUGUGUUAGUAACCAUAGAUUCACAGCCCUGGAAGGACUCGGAAAGUACGCAAUAGAAUGCUCUCACUGUUCAAUUAAGGAACUGAAACCCAGACUCCCGGGCUUUCGACUUACCCACUUUCAGCCCACUAGUUAAUGUCAGAGCAGGAAGUAUAAGGUAGAGCUCUCUUGAGAGAUCAGAAUUUGCAGUAGAUCUGUGACUUAGAAGAUACAUACCAGCUGACUCUCAGAUACUGUAGAAGAUGGUGAGGAGAGAUUUGCCUGCAAAACACGAACAUGGUGUUUAUUAGUGAAACUCAUACUUUAUUAAAAUAUUUAUGUGUUUAAGUA